rnacentral:rRNA from 1 species
AGUCAACAUGCCCAGGGGACGUGGAUAACCUCGGGAAACUGAGGGUAAACCGCGAUAGGUCAUCACUUCUGGAAUGGGUAAUGACUUAAAUCUACAUGGCCCCUGGAUUGGACUGCGGCCGAUCAGGCUGUUGGUGAGGUAAUGGCCCACCAAACCUGUAACCGGUACGGGCUCUGAGAGGAGGAGCCCGGAGAUGGGCACUGAGACAAGGGCCCAGGCCCUAUGGGGCGCAGCAGGCGCGAAACCUCUGCAAUAGGCGAAAGCUUGACAGGGUUACUCUGAGUGAUUUCCGUUAAGGAGAUCUUUUGGCACCUCUAAAAAUGGUGCAGAAUAAGGGGUGGGCAAGUCUGGUGUCAGCCGCCGCGGUAAUACCAGCACCCCGAGUGGUCGGGACGUUUAUUGGGCCUAAAGCAUCCGUAGCCGGUUCUACAAGUCUACCGUUAAAUCCACCUGCUUAACAGAUGGGCUGCGGAAGAUACUAUAGAGCUAGGAGGCGGGAGAGGCAAGCGGUACUCGAUGGGUAGGGGUAAAAUCCGUUGAUCCAUUGAAGACCACCAGUGGCGAAGGCGGCUUGCCAGAACGCGCUCGACGGUGAGGGAUGAAAGCUGGGGGAGCAAACCGGAUUAGAUACCCGGGUAGUCCCAGCUGUAAACGAUGCAGACUCGGUGAUGAGUUGGCUUAUUGCUAACUCAGUGCCGCAGGGAAGCCGUUAAGUUUGCCGCCUGGGGAGUACGGUCGCAAGACUGAAACUUAA